AGAGUUUGAUCAUGGCUCAGAAUCAACGCUGGCGGCGCGCUUAACACAUGCAAGUCGCACGAGAAAGUGGAGCAAUCCAUGAGUACAGUGGCGUACGGGUGAGUAACACGUGGAUCAUCUACCUUUUAGUGGGGAAUACCUCAUGGAAACGGGAGACAAUACCGCAUAAUCUCGCGAGAGGAAAGCAGCAAUGCGCUGAAAGAGGAGUCCGCGGCCGAUUAGCUAGUUGGCGGGGUAACGGCCCACCAAGGCGAAGAUCGGUAGCCGGCCUGAGAGGGCUCACGGCCACACUGGCACUGAAACACGGGCCAGACUCCUACGGGAGGCAGCAGUGGGGAAUCUUGCACAAUGGAGGAAACUCUGAUGCAGCGACGCCGCGUGAGCGAUGAAGCCCUUCGGGGUGUAAAGCUCUUUCGACGGGAACGAUAAUGACGGUACCCGAAGAAGAAGCUGCGGCUAACUACGUGCCAGCAGCCGCGGUAAUACGUAGGCAGCAAGCGUUGUUCGGAAUUACUGGGCGUAAAGAGUGUGUAGGCGGUGCUCUAAGUCUAUCGUGAAAUCUCCCGGCUUAACUGGGAGGGUGCGGCGGAAACUGGAGUGCUCGAGGGUGGGAGAGGAAAGCGGAAUUCCUGGUGUAGCGGUGAAAUGCGUAGAUAUCAGGAGGAACACCUGCGGUGUAGACAGCUUUCUGGACCACUUCUGACGCUGAGACACGAAAGCGUGGGUAGCAAACAGGAUUAGAUACCCUCGUAGUCC
rnacentral:rRNA from 1 species